rnacentral:rRNA from 1 species
CCUACGGGAGGCAGCAGUGAGGAAUAUUGGUCAAUGGGCGGAAGCCUGAACCAGCCAAGUCGCGUGCGGGAUGAAGGCCCUACGGGUCGUAAACCGCUUUUGCACGGGGAUCACACUCUCCACUUGUGUAGGUCUGCAGGUACCGUGCGAAUAAGGGCCGGCUAAUUCCGUGCCAGCAGUCGCGGUAAUACGGAGAGUCCGAGCGUUAUCCGGAUUAAUUGGGCUUAAAGGGAGAGUAGGCGGACGGAUACGUUGGCGGUAAAAUUGCGGGGCUAAACCGGGCACCGAAGUUGAAACUGGAGACCUAGAGUUCACAUCAGGCAGGCGGAAUUGGUGGUGUAGCGGUGAAAUGCAUAGAGAUCACGAGGAACCCCGAUUGCGAAGGCAGCCUGCCAGGGUACGACUGACGCUGAGGCUCGAAGGUGCGGGUAGCAAACAGGAUUAGAUACCCUUGUAGUC